ensembl:lncRNA
ACAGGUAUUAAGAUGUAGACAUUUGGAGGAGGGGUUAUGGAGCUGAAACCCAUCCUUCUGAGAAAGGGUCUGCUCUGUUGGUGUUGGUGUCUGAGGUGCCCUGAAGAAGCUGGUUCUGUGAGUGUUGGGAAAAGAAAAAACAACUACAAACUAGAUUUCACGGCUCCCAGAGGAAGGAGUGAGCAUUGCAAGGGCGGAGAAACUGCUGUGAGGCUCCCGGAAACAGGAAGUCGAUGGGACCUCCCUGGGGUGCAAACAAGAAGGAGUUUCUCUCUCCCCAGCACCCAUCCCAGAGUCCUCGUUGCCAGACUGAGCCUGGAACCAGUGAGCCAAGCAGAAAUGUGGUUUUCAGUCCCAGACCCAGUAUUGCAGAACGGAGGACUUGAAAGAAACAGGUGCAGGAGGAACAUUGAAUCACACUAUGCCCUCAGAUCCUUGUUGCUGCAACAGAAGCUGCCUGUCUCCGGAUAGGAUCGCUGCCCUGUUGGACCCUCCAGAAAUCACGCCCCACUGUGACAUCAUCAUUAAAAUGUUCUGCAUCGCUCCC